rnacentral:rRNA from 1 species
AUUGAACGCUGGCGGCAGGCCUAACACAUGCAAGUCGAGCGAGCGGCGGACGGGUGAGUAAUGUAUGGGGACUGCCCGAUAGAGGGGGAUAACUACUGGAAACAGUGGCUAAUACCGCAUACUAUCGGAUAACCCAUAUGGGAUUAGCUAGUAGGUGGGGUAAAGGCUCACCAAGGCAACGAUCUCUAGCUGGUCUGAGAGGACGACCAGCCACACUGGGACUGAGACACGGCCCAGACUCCUACGGAGGCAGCAGUGGGGAAUAUUGCACAAUGGGCGCAACCCUGAUGCAGCCAUGCCGCGUGUAUGAAGAAGGCCUUAGGGUUGUAAAGUACUUUCGGCAGAGAAGCGUUACCCGCAGAAGAAGCACCGGCUAACUCCGUGCCAGCAGCCGCGGUAAUAC